CUUUGAGCUGAGCAGCACUACACAAUCCUCAUUUCAGUAAGGGUUUUUAUUACAUAUUCCAACAGGAAGCGUACUAUACGUUUCAGUAUAAUUGACCAUCCUAAUCGACUACUUCUCUCCAAGAAAGGCUCUUGUGCUUUUGGUCUUUCAUUGAUUUCCAUCGGUCUUCGGACAUUGGAAUGAGCAUCCUAAGAUGCUGAUACCACCACUGUUCAUUCACCGAUUUGUUCAGUAAAUUUCCAAAUUUUCAAAGCAGUUAUCAGUUUGUACCAGUUUGUGUCGUGUUGUUUACUGCUCUUAUAUGUGAUCGAUUAUCUUUACUUUGGAACUCCUUGUAAAUAGUUUCUGGAGCAUAGAGAACACAUAUUCACAGCUGCAGUUAUCUCUACCAGCCAGCCACUCAGAUUGCUCUAUUUUCGGUUAGC